rnacentral:SRP_RNA from 1 species
GCCGAUAGUCCCAGCUACCCGGGAGGCUGCAGCAGGAGGAUGGCUAGAACCCAGGAGUUCCGGGCAGUAGGGCCCUAUGCUGGUCAUGGGUGUCGGAACUAAAUUCAUCAUCAAUAUGGUGACCUCCCAGGAACAGGAACCACCAGGUUACCUAAGGAGGGGUGAACUGGUUCAGUUUAGAAAUAGAACAGGUCAGAACUCCUGUGCUGAUCAGCAGUAGGAUCACCUCUGUAACUAACCACUGCCCUUUGGCCUGGGCAACACAGUGAGACCCCAUCUCU